GAUGAACGCUGGCGGCGUGCCUAAUACAUGCGAGUCGAACGGGAGUACUUGUACUCUAGUGGCGAACGGGUGAGUAACACGUAGGUAAUCUGCCCUUUAGACGAGGAUACCGUUUGGAAACGAACGUUAAUACUGGAUAGGAUAUUAAAAAUCGCAUGAUUAAAUAUUUAAAGUAGAGAUACGCUAAAGGAGGAACCUGCGGCGCAUUAGCUAGUUGGUGAGGUAACGGCUCACCAAGGCAAUGAUGCGUAGCCGGACUGAGAGGUUGAACGGCCACAUUGGGACUGAGACACGGCCCAAACUCCUACGGGAGGCAGCAGUAGGGAAUUUUCGGCAAUGGAGGAAACUCUGACCGAGCAACGCCGCGUGAACGAUGAAGUAUUUCGGUAUGUAAAGUUCUUUUAUCAGGGAAGAAAAAGCUUCGGCCAUUGACGGUACCUGAUGAAUAAGCCCCGGCUAACUACGUGCCAGCAGCCGCGGUAAUACGUAGGGGGCAAGCGUUAUCCGGAAUUAUUGGGCGUAAAGGGUGCGUAGGUGGCAUGAAAAGUCUUUGGUUAAAGUGCGGGGCUCAACCCCGUGAUGCCAAGGAAACUUUCAAGCUAGAGUCUGGAAGAGGUAAGUGGAAUUCCAUGUGUAGAGGUAAAAUUCGUAAAUAUAUGGAGGAACACCAGUGGCGAAGGCGGCUUACUGGUCCAUGACUGACACUGAGGCACGAAAGCGUGGGGAGCAAACAGGAUUAGAUACCCUGGUAGUCCACGCCGUAAACGAUGAGUACUAAGUGUCGCCAUAAGGCAGUGCUGAAGUUAACACAUUAAGUACUCCGCCUGAGUAGUACGUACGCAAGUAUGGAACUUAAAGGAAUUGACGGGAGCCCGCACAAGCGGUGGAGCAUGUUAUUUAAUUCGAAGAUACGCGAAGAACCUUACCAGGUCUUGACAUACCUUGCAAAGCUAUAGAGAUAUAGCGGAGGUUAACAAGGAUACAGGUGGUGCAUGGUUGUCGUCAGCUCGUGUCGUGAGAUGUUGGGUUAAGUCCCGCAACGAGCGCAACCCUUAUUGCUAGUUACCAUCAUUAAGUUGGGGACUCUAGUGAGACUGCCAGUGAUAAACUGGAGGAAGGUGGGGAUGACGUCAAAUCAUCAUGCCCUUUAUGACCUGGGCUAUAAACGUGCUACAAUGGCUGAAACAAAGAGAAGCAAGCUCGCGAGAGUAAGCAAACCUCAUAAAAGCAGUCUCAGUUCGGAUUGAAGUCUGCAACUCGACUUCAUGAAGUUGGAAUCGCUAGUAAUCGCGAAUCAGAAUGUCGCGGUGAAUACGUUCUCGGGCUUUGUACACACCGCCCGUCAAACCAUGAGAGUUUGUAAUACCCGAAGCCGGUGGCCUAACCGCAAGGA
rnacentral:rRNA from 1 species